CGAUUGAUAUCUUCUGUCGCUCCGCCAAAUUGGAAAUCGCUUUCAGCAGUUCCAAAUCCUGCUUCGAUGUCAAAUGAAGUUCGGUCGUUAUUUGAAUGUAAAGAAUGAGAUCCACGAAGAAGGACUUCUUUGAGAGAAGGUGAUCUUCGAGGUUCAUUAUCAGUUGGUACCUUCAAAUGAUCUUCCACGCUAUGGUUAUCAUCACCUUCACCCGAAGCGAUUGUCGGUACAGUCGAUUCAACGAUGGAGAAACUGCGAUCACUAACUGAAGGUGUUCUAGUUGACAUUAAAAGUUGCUCUGGAUCAGCAUUAUGUUGGCGAAGGACUUCUUGAAUGGGUGUUUCGGGUAAAAUCUCAGAAACUUCACUCAAAAGUAUGAAAGGAUUUUCUAAAGCUUUCUUCUUUUCUUCCAUAUGUUGAAGGAAUGUUUUUCUGAUGAUUGAAGUUUCAACCAAACCCAACAACUUUUCCAUUCUAAUAGAUUUUUCCAAUUCCGAAAGUACGUACGCUCGGCGAAUGUAGUCAGAAAUAGGAAAUGCUUCACGAUGAUCAACAAUUUUAUGAAGUACAACUAACAUCAAUAUAUUCGAAAAAGAAAUGACGUUGCCCGGUAGUGUCAUAAUCUCUGUACAGAGAGAAUUCAGUACGUUUCUUCGCUCUUUCACUACGUUUACAUCAAUAGUAUCAAUAAUUUGGUCUAGCGCCUCUAAGUUUAUUUCAGAACCCAUCAAGGGAUUUUCGAGCAUUGGGACAGAUUGCUGCCCAGUUUUACUCUGAACUUUGGAGAUAAUGCUUCUCAAUGUAUGUUCAUCUCGAUAUAUUCUGAAAUCAUAGACACCCCUUAGCGAAAGAACAAAUUUUACAGCAUUGCGUUUGGGAAUAUAACCGGUGACCAUGGGGUCAAAAGGUGCCCAUGAAUCCUUAAAUUGUCGGAAAUCGUUACGCUGCAAAUUUGUAAACGAGGAAGAUUUAGUAUGGAUGUAGGAAAAGUUGUCGAAAACAACAGUAAUAAACAUAUUAACAAAAAUGUACAUUGAGAUAAUAUUCCAAGCAAUAAACAAUCCAUAAGCCCACGGUUUGUUACCGCAGUCUGAAUUGUAGAAAUCGUCACCAUUCAC